CGCUGGCGGCGUGCUUAACACAUGCAAGUCGAACGGUGAAGCAGAGCUUGCUCUGUGGAUCAGUGGCGAACGGGUGAGUAACACGUGAGCAACCUGCCCCUGACUCUGGGAUAAGCGCUGGAAACGGCGUCUAAUACCGGAUAUGAGCUGCGAUCGCAUGGUCAGCAGCUGGAAAGAUUUUUCGGUCUGGGAUGGGCUCACGGCCUAUCAGCUUGUUGGUGAGGUAAUGGCUCACCAAGGCGUCGACGGGUAGCCGGCCUGAGAGGGUGACCGGCCACACUGGGACUGAGACACGGCCCAGACUCCUACGGGAGGCAGCAGUGGGGAAUAUUGCACAAUGGGCGAAAGCCUGAUGCAGCAACGCCGCGUGAGGGAUGACGGCCUUCGGGUUGUAAACCUCUUUUAGCAGGGAAGAAGCGAAAGUGACGGUACCUGCAGAAAAAGCGCCGGCUAACUACGUGCCAGCAGCCGCGGUAAUACGUAGGGCGCAAGCGUUAUCCGGAAUUAUUGGGCGUAAAGAGCUCGUAGGCGGUUUGUCGCGUCUGCUGUGAAAUCCCGAGGCUCAACCUCGGGUCUGCAGUGGGUACGGGCAGACUAGAGUGCGGUAGGGGAGAUUGGAAUUCCUGGUGUAGCGGUGGAAUGCGCAGAUAUCAGGAGGAACACCGAUGGCGAAGGCAGAUCUCUGGGCCGUUACUGACGCUGAGGAGCGAAAGGGUGGGGAGCAAACAGGCUUAGAUACCCUGGUAGUCCACCCCGUAAACGUUGGGAACUAGUUGUGGGGUCCAUUCCACGGAUUCCGUGACGCAGCUAACGCAUUAAGUUCCCCGCCUGGGGAGUACGGCCGCAAGGCUAAAACUCAAAGGAAUUGACGGGGACCCGCACAAGCGGCGGAGCAUGCGGAUUAAUUCGAUGCAACGCGAAGAACCUUACCAAGGCUUGACAUAUACGAGAACGGGCCAGAAAUGGUCAACUCUUUGGACACUCGUAAACAGGUGGU
rnacentral:rRNA from 1 species